GACGAACGCUGGCGGCGUGCUUAACACAUGCAAGUCGAACGGAAAGGCCCUUCGGGGUACUCGAGUGGCGAACGGGAGCGUAACACGAGGGCGAUCUGCCCCUCACCUUGGGAUAAGCCUGGGAAACUGGGUCUAAUACUGGAUAGGACUACGGCCUCCAUCUGCUGUGGUGGAAUGGUUUUGCUGCGGGGGAUGGGCCCGCGGCCUAUCAGCUUGUUGGUGGGGUAGUGGCCUACCAAGGCGAUGACGGGUAGCCGGCCUGAGAGGGUGACCGGCCACACUGGGACUGAGAUACGGCCCAGACUCCUACGGGAGGCAGCAGUGGGGAAUAUUGCACAAUGGGCGGAAGCCUGAUGCAGCGACGCCGCGUGAGGGAUGACGGCCUUCGGGUUGUAAACCUCUUUCGCCAGGGACGAAGCGCGAGUGACGGUACCUGGAGAAGAAGGACCGGCCAACUACGUG
rnacentral:rRNA from 1 species